AAAGCUCGUAGUUGAAUUUCUGGACGCGGAGGGUGGUCCGCCCCUCACGGGGUGUGUACUUUUUCUCUGCGUCCAUCCUCGGGGUGAACAUGUCUGGGGUUAAAUCACCGGGCAUGGGACCCUCGUCAUUUACUGUGAGCAAAAUAGAGUGUUCAAAGCAGGCUUAGGCCGUUAAUACGUUAGCAUGGAU
rnacentral:rRNA from 1 species